rnacentral:rRNA from 1 species
GGCCAUUGCUAUCGGAGUCCGAUUUAGCCAUGCUAGUUGUACGAGUUUAGACUCGUAGCAUAUAGCUCAGUAACACGUGGCCAAACUACCCUACAGACCGCAAUAACCUCGGGAAACUGAGGCCAAUAGCGGAUAUAACUCUCAUGCUGGAGUGCCGAGAGUUAGAAACGUUCCGGCGCUGUAGGAUGUGGCUGCGGCCGAUUAGGUAGAUGGUGGGGUAACGGCCCACCAUGCCGAUAAUCGGUACGGGUUGUGAGAGCAAGAACCCGGAGACGGUAUCUGAGACAAGAUACCGGGCCCUACGGGGCGCAGCAGGCGCGAAACCUUUACACUGCACGACAGUGCGAUAGGGGGACUCCGAGUGCGAGGGCAUAUAGCCCUCGCUUUUCUGUACCGUAAGGUGGUACAGGAACAAGGACUGGGCAAGACCGGUGCCAGCCGCCGCGGUAAUACCGGCAGUCCAAGUGAUGGCCGAUAUUAUUGGGCCUAAAGCGUCCGUAGCCGGCCGGACAAGUCCGUUGGGAAAUCGACGCGCUCAGCGCGUCGGCGUCCAGCGGAAACUGUCCGGCUUGGGGCCGGAAGACCUGAGGGGUACGUCCGGGGUAGGAGUGAAAUCCUGUAAUCCUGGACGGACCACCAAUGGGGAAACCACCUCAGGAAGACGGACCCGACGGUGAGGGACGAAAGCUAGGGUCUCGAACCGGAUUAGAUACCCGGGUAGUCCUAGCUGUAAACGAUGCUCGCUAGGUGUGCCGUAGGCUACGAGCCUGCGCUGCGCCCUAGGGAAGCCGAGAAGCGAGCCGCCUGGGAAGUACGUCUGCAAGGAUGAAACUUAAAGGAAUUGGCGGGGGAGCACCACAACCGGAGGAGCCUGCGGUUU